GGGUCAGCUGCUGUGACAAUGCCUGGGGCGAUCAUGCCCUCCAGCGCUGCCUGCAUGCCGAGGAGGAGGCGAGUCCCCGCGUGAAUAAUCGGGCUCCGCCGUCUCACAGCGGAUGUCAGAAGGUUGCUGGCAGAGGUGGUUGGGGCUAUGUGCCUGGAGUGAAGAUUCUGCCCAUUGGUCAAGAGACCUCCCUCUCAGAUGCUGGCUCUGCCCCUGCCUUUGGGGGUCGACCCUUGUACU
rnacentral:antisense_RNA from 1 species